GACGAACGCUGGCGGCGUGCUUAACACAUGCAAGUCAAACGGAAAGGCCCUGCUUUUGUGGGGUGCUCGAGUGGCGAACGGGUGAGUAACACGUGAGUAACCUGCCCUUGACUUUGGGAUAACUUCAGGAAACUGGGGCUAAUACCGGAUAGGAGCUCCUGCUGCAUGGUGGGGGUUGGAAAGUUUCGGCGGUUGGGGAUGGACUCGCGGCUUAUCAGCUUGUUGGUGGGGUAGUGGCUUACCAAGGCUUUGACGGGUAGCCGGCCUGAGAGGGUGACUGGCCACAUUGGGACUGAGAUACGGCCCAGACUCCUACGGGAGGCAGCAGUGGGGAAUAUUGCACAAUGGGCGGAAGCCUGAUGCAGCAACGCCGCGUGCGGGAUGACGGCCUUCGGGUUGUAAACCGCUUUCGCCUGUGACGAAGCGUGAGUGACGGUAAUGGGUAAAGAAGCACCGGCUAACUACGUG
rnacentral:rRNA from 1 species